UGUAUAAUGGGUCAGCGACUUAUAUUCUGUAGCAAGGUUAACCGAAUAGGGGAGCCGAAGGGAAACCGAGUCUUAACUGGGCGUUAAGUUGCAGGGUAUAGACCCGAAACCCGGUGAUCUAGCCAUGGGCAGGUUGAAGGUUGGGUAACACUAACUGGAGGACCGAACCGACUAAUGUUGAAAAAUUAGCGGAUGACUUGUGGCUGGGGGUGAAAGGCCAAUCAAACCGGGAGAUAGCUGGUUCUCCCCGAAAGCUAUUUAGGUAGCGCCUCGUGAAUUCAUCUCCGGGGGUAGAGCACUGUUUCGGCAAGGGGGUCAUCCCGACUUACCAACCCGAUGCAAACUGCGAAUACCGGAGAAUGUUAUCACGGGAGACACACGGCGGGUGCUAACGUCCGUCGUGAAGAGGGAAACAACCCAGACCGCCAGCUAAGGUCCCAAAGUCAUGGUUAAGUGGGAAACGAUGUGGGAAGGCCCAGACAGCCAGGAUGUUGGCUUAGAAGCAGCCAUCAUUUAAAGAAAGCGUAAUAGCUCACUGGUCGAGUCGGCCUGCGCGGAAGAUGUAACGGGGCUAAACCAUGCACCGAAGCUGCGGCAGCGACGCUGAUGCGUUGUUGGGUAGGGGAGCGUUCUGUAAGCCUGUGAAGGUGUGCUGUGAGGCAUGCUGGAGGUAUCAGAAGUGCGAAUGCUGACAUAAGUAACGAUAAAGCGGGUGAAAAGCCCGCUCGCCGGAAGACCAAGGGUUCCUGUCCAACGUUAAUCGGGGCAGGGUGAGUCGACCCCUAAGGCGAGGCCGAAAGGCGUAGUCGAUGGGAAACAGGUUAAUAUUCCUGUACUUGGUGUUACUGCGAAGGGGGGACGGAGAAGGCUAUGUUGGCCGGGCGACGGUUGUCCCGGUUUAAGCGUGUAGGCUGGUUUUCCAGGCAAAUCCGGAAAACUAAGGCUGAGGCGUGAUGACGAGGCACUACGGUGCUGAAGCAACAAAUGCCCUGCUUCCAGGAAAAGCCUCUAAGCAUCAGGUAACAUCAAAUCGUACCCCAAACCGACACAGGUGGUCAGGUAGAGAAUACCAAGGCGCUUGAGAGAACUCGGGUGAAGGAACUAGGCAAAAUGGUGCCGUAACUUCGGGAGAAGGCACGCUGAUAUGUAGGUGAAGUCCCUCGCGGAUGGAGCUGAAAUCAGUCGAAGAUACCAGCUGGCUGCAACUGUUUAUUAAAAACACAGCACUGUGCAAACACGAAAGUGGACGUAUACGGUGUGACGCCUGCCCGGUGCCGGAAGGUUAAUUGAUGGGGUCAGCGCAAGCGAAGCUCUUGAUCGAAGCCCCGGUAAACGGCGGCCGUAACUAUAACGGUCCUAAGGUAGCGAAAUUCCUUGUCGGGUAAGUUCCGACCUGCACGAAUGGCGUAAUGAUGGCCAGGCUGUCUCCACCCGAGACUCAGUGAAAUUGAACUCGCUGUGAAGAUGCAGUGUACCCGCGGCAAGACGGAAAGACCCCGUGAACCUUUACUAUAGCUUGACACUGAACAUUGAGCCUUGAUGUGUAGGAUAGGUGGGAGGCUUUGAAGUGUGGACGCCAGUCUGCAUGGAGCCGACCUUGAAAUACCACCCUUUAAUGUUUGAUGUUCUAACGUUGACCCGUAAUCCGGGUUGCGGACAGUGUCUGGUGGGUAGUUUGACUGGGGCGGUCUCCUCCUAAAGAGUAACGGAGGAGCACGAAGGUUGGCUAAUCCUGGUCGGACAUCAGGAGGUUAGUGCAAUGGCAUAAGCCAGCUUGACUGCGAGCGUGACGGCGCGAGCAGGUGCGAAAGCAGGUCAUAGUGAUCCGGUGGUUCUGAAUGGAAGGGCCAUCGCUCAACGGAUAAAAGGUACUCCGGGGAUAACAGGCUGAUACCGCCCAAGAGUUCAUAUCGACGGCGGUGUUUGGCACCUCGAUGUCGGCUCAUCACAUCCUGGGGCUGAAGUAGGUCCCAAGGGUAUGGCUGUUCGCCAUUUAAAGUGGUACGCGAGCUGGGUUUAGAACGUCGUGAGACAGUUCGGUCCCUAUCUGCCGUGGGCGCUGGAGAACUGAGGGGGGCUGCUCCUAGUACGAGAGGACCGGAGUGGACGCAUCACUGGUGUUCGGGUUGUCAUGCCAAUGGCACUGCCCGGUAGCUAAAUGCGGAAGAGAUAAGUGCUGAAAGCAUCUAAGCACGAAACUUGCCCCGAGAUGAGUUCUCCCUGACUCCUUGAGAGUCCUGAAGGAACGUUGAAG
rnacentral:rRNA from 1 species